rnacentral:lncRNA from 1 species
GGACUUUAAGAAGCUGCUGAAGAACAAAAAUGAAGGUGGGAGCUGUUGGUGUCGAGUGACUCAUAGCACCAUCCUUCAGGGACGGUGUGGUUGGCCAGAGUAUGGUCAGGGAGAGCCAAGAGAAGAAGUGCUUCUGAGUAUGACCCAGCAGGGUGGAAAGAAGGAGUCUCCCAAGUGCACAUUUGUUGGAGGAAGCUUUUGUGGGCUCCUGACAUUCCAUUAUUCUAGAACUACAAGGUAAGAACAAGAGGAGACUUGGGGAGACUCUGGUCCAAUUCGUCCUUUUUUUUUUUUCCAGAUGUGGAAUUAGAGGACCGAGGGAGUGAAGGGCUUUCCUCCUCAUCACUUGGGUUAGGACCAUGGAGCUCCUGGAGCCUCGAGAUUCCAGGCCCAGGAGCACAUCCUCAUUGUGCUUCUUGGGGCUCAGGUGCAUCUCUUAAAAACUUGUUCUUAGACGUGUUGUGUUCAAACUUGUUGCAUCAUGUCAGUCUUAAUGUUAUAUCUGGAACAAGGAAGGAGAGAAGAAAGGAAAGCAGGAAGAAAGAAAACAAAGAAAGAAGGCUUUGGAAGGCCGAGGUGGGUGGAUCACGAGGUCAAGAGAUCGAGACCAUCCUGGUCAACAUGGUGACUAAAAAUACAAAAAUUAGCUGGGCAUGGUGGUGCAUGCCUGUAAUCCCAGCUACUCAAGAGGCUGAGGCAGGAGAACUGCCUGAACCCAGGAGGUGGAGAUUGCGGUGAGCCAAGAUCGUGCCAUUGCACUCCAGCCUGGGUAAGAAGAGUGAAACUGUCUCAAAAAAAAAAAAAAAGAAAAAAGAAAAAGAAAAAGAAAGAAAGAAAGAAGGAAAGAAAAAGAGAGACUGAGAGAAAACUGGAGAUAUGUACACACACACAGAGAGAGAGAGAGAGAGAGAGAGAGAGAGAGAGAGAGACAGAGAGAGAGAGAGACUUCUUGGCAUCUUACCACAACCAUUUUUUAUCUACGGAGCAGAAAUAUUUUACAAUACCUACAGGCUCCUGGGCAGAUCAUCAUGUGCAGACUGCUUACAGAGAGAAGAAAAUCGUUUCACUUUCAUCUUCCUGGAGACACCCUCCAGAGAAAGCAGCAACAAGGCACCAUCUUGGAAGCUGAGAGGGCAGCCCUUACCAGACACCAAAUCUGCCAGCACCUCUGUCUUGAACGUUCCAGUCUUCAGAGCCAUGGGAAGUAAAUUUCUGUUCUUUAUAAAUUACUCAGUCUAUGGUGUUUUGUUAUAG